UACGUAGGGCGCAAGCGUUGUCCGGAAUUAUUGGGCGUAAAGAGCUCGUAGGCGGCUUGUCACGUCGGAUGUGAAAGCCCGAGGCUUAACCUCGGGUCUGCAUUCGAUACGGGCUAGCUAGAGUGUGGUAGGGGAGAUCGGAAUUCCUGGUGUAGCGGUGAAAUGCGCAGAUAUCAGGAGGAACACCGGUGGCGAAGGCGGAUCUCUGGUCCAUUACUGACGCUGAGGAGCGAAAGCGUGGGGAGCGAACAGG
rnacentral:rRNA from 1 species